AUUGAACGCUGGCGGCAUGCUUUACACAUGCAAGUCGAACGGCAGCGCGGGCUUCGGCCUGGCGGCGAGUGGCGAACGGGUGAGUAAUGCAUCGGAACGUGCCCAGUAGUGGGGGAUAGCCCGGCGAAAGCCGGAUUAAUACCGCAUACGACCUGAGGGUGAAAGCGGGGGACCGAAAGGCCUCGCGCUAUUGGAGCGGCCGAUGUCGGAUUAGCUAGUUGGUGGGGUAAAGGCUUACCAAGGCGACGAUCCGUAGCUGGUCUGAGAGGACGACCAGCCACACUGGAACUGAGACACGGCCCAGACUCCUACGGGAGGCAGCAGUGGGGAAUAUUGGACAAUGGGGGCAAGCCUGAUCCAGCCAUGCCGCGUGCGGGAAGAAGGCCUUCGGGUUGUAAAGCGCUUUUGUUCGGGAAGAAAUCCUCUGGGCUAAUACCCCGGGGGGAUGACGGUACCGAAAGAAUAAGCACCGGCUAACUACGUG
rnacentral:rRNA from 1 species